rnacentral:rRNA from 1 species
CUUGCUUGACUGAGCUAUUGGCUUUGAAUUGUAUUGUGGAAAUGUAAUAAAGCGUCAAUGAGGGUGAGAAUCCUGUUUGUCAUGUGCAGCCCUUUGUGCACGGUGUAUAUUUGCUGAGUCACACUCUGGCAUUGGAAUGCAAAGUGGGUGGUAAGUUUCAUGUAAAGGUAAACAUGCAAUUGAGACUGAUAGCACACAAGUACCAUGAGGGAAAUAUGAAAAGGACUUUGAAAAGAGAAUUAAAUGAGUUUGUAUUUGCUGAACACAAAGUAAACAGACUUGAUUUGCUUGGUGGGAGUGUUGCACUUGCUUGACAAGAGCUUUGGGCUGUGGGUGUAAUGAUUCUUUCUUUGCAUGCCAGUUUCUAUUUGUACAUCUGAUUACCUUUGCACAUGAAUGAUAAGUCUCCUGUGGGGGGUGGAUUGCAUGUGCAUGUAAUGAUUUGUGUUUUGAUAAAUGUGUCUGGUGUAUGUGUG